rnacentral:rRNA from 1 species
GCAGCAGUGAGGAAUAUUGGUCAAUAGCCUAACGGUUGAACCAGCAACUUGGAAGAAUGUAUAGCUAAGCUAAAUGUAUUUUUUUUAAAAAACAUAUUCGAUUUAUUCGUAUAAAAUUCUAGGUAGAGUUAUGAUAAUGACAUUAUCUAUCUAUAAGUCUUGACCAACAUGCGUGCCAGCAGUCGCGGUAAGACGCUAAAGACUAGUGUUAUUCAUUUUUAAUAGGUUUAAAGGGUACCUAGACGGUAAAUUAAGCCUUAAUGGGUACUAAUUUAACUAGAGUUAGAUGUAAGGGUGCAUUAACGUACUAUUGAGUGUAGAGAUGAAAUUCUGUCAUACCAGAUGAUUGGCACGGGUUUAGGCGAAAACAUCACCUUAUGUAAUAACUGACGUUGAGGGACGAAGGCUUUGUAUCGCUAAAAGGAUUAGAUACCCUCGUAGUCUAAGCAGAAAAUGAUGAAUGUCAUAGGUUAAAUAUUAUUUAGUCUAUAAAUGAAAGUGUAAGCAUUCCACCUCAAGAGUAAUUUGGCAACAUUGGAAUUGAAAUCAUUAGACCGUUUCUGAAACCAGUAGUGAAGUAUGUUGUUUAAUUAGAUGUCCCACAAAGAACCUUACCACAAUUUGAAUAUAAUUUGAAUAUUUUACAAGUGUUGCACGGCUGUCUACAGUUAAUGUCGUGAGACUCUGGUUAGUUCCAAUAAAUUAACGUAAACCCUUACUUUAUUUUAUUUUAUAUAAAGUAGUUCACCGCUAUAUUGGUUUGAUAAAAGGGAAUAUGACAAGUCAUC